rnacentral:rRNA from 1 species
UCCAGACUCCUACGGGAGGCAGCAGUGAGGAAUAUUGGUCAAUGGUCGGGAGACUGAACCAGCCAAGCCGCGUGAGGGAUGAAGGUACAGAGUAUCGUAAACCUCUUUUGUCAGGGAACAAAGGCGGGGACGUGUCCCCGGAUGAGUGUACCUGAAGAAAAAGCAUCGGCUAACUCCGUGCCAGCAGCCGCGGUAAUACGGAGGAUGCGAGCGUUAUCCGGAUUUAUUGGGUUUAAAGGGUGCGCAGGCGGCUUGUUAAGUCAGGGGUAAAAGCCCGGGGCCCAACCCCGGCGAGCCGUUGAAACUGGCGGGCUGGAGUUGGAGAGAAGUACGCGGAAUGCGCGGUGUAGCGGUGAAAUGCAUAGAUAUCGCGCAGAACUCCGAUUGCGAAGGCAGCAUGCCGGCGCCACACUGACGCUGAGGCACGAAAGCGUGGGUAUCGAACAGGAUUAGAUACCCUGGUAUU